rnacentral:rRNA from 1 species
GUGAGGAAUAUUGGUCAAUGGGCGCGAGCCUGAACCAGCCAAGUAGCGUGAGGGAUGACUGCCCUAUGGGUUGUAAACCUCUUUUGCAGGGGGGUAAAGUGGUUCACGUGUGGGCCAUUGCAAGUACCCUGCGAAUAAGGAUCGGCUAACUCCGUGCCAGCAGCCGCGGUAAUACGGAGGAUCCGAGCGUUAUCCGGAUUUAUUGGGUUUAAAGGGAGCGUAGGCGGGGGUUUAAGUCAGCUGUGAAAUGCCGUGGCCCAACCAUGGAACUGCAGUUGAAACUGGACCUCUUGAGAGUACAUAAGGAAGGCGGAAUUCGUGGUGUAGCGGUGAAAUGCAUAGAUAUCACGAAGAACUCCGAUUGCGAAGGCAGCUUUCCGGGGUACAUCUGACGCUGAAGCUCGAAAGUGCGGGAAUCAAACAGGAUUAGAAACCCCAGUAGUCC